UGGGGAAUAUUGCACAAUGGGGGAGGACCCUGAUGCAGCGACGCCGCGUGAGCGAAGAAGUAUCUCGGUAUGUAAAGCUCUAUCAGCAGGGAAGAAAGUGACGGUACCUGACUAAGAAGCCCCGGCUAACUACGUGCCAGCAGCCGCGGUAAUACGUAGGGAGCAAGCGUUAUCCGGAUUUACUGGGUGUAAAGGGAGCGCAGGCGGCGCGGCAAGUCUGGUGUGAAAGCCCGGGGCUCAACCCCGGGCACUCGCAUUUGGAAAACUGUCGUGCUGGAGUGUCGGAGGGGCAAGUGGAAUUCCUAUGUAGCGGUGAAAUGCGUAGAUAUUAGGAGGAACACCAGUGGCGAAGGCGGCUUGCUGGACGACAACUGACGCUGAGGCUCGAAAGCGUGGGGAGCAAACAGGAUUAGAUACCC
rnacentral:rRNA from 1 species